rnacentral:rRNA from 1 species
AUUGAACGCUGGCGGCAUGCCUUACACAUGCAAGUCGAACGGUAACAGGUCUUCGGAUGCUGACGAGUGGCGAACGGGUGAGUAAUACAUCGGAACGUGCCCGAGAGUGGGGGAUAACGAGGCGAAAGCUUUGCUAAUACCGCAUACGAUCUCAGGAUGAAAGCAGGGGACCGCAAGGCCUUGCGCUCACGGAGCGGCCGAUGGCAGAUUAGGUAGUUGGUGGGAUAAAAGCUUACCAAGCCGGCGAUCUGUAGCUGGUCUGAGAGGACGACCAGCCACACUGGGACUGAGACACGGCCCAGACUCCUACGGGAGGCAGCAGUGGGGAAUUUUGGACAAUGGGCGCAAGCCUGAUCCAGCCAUGCCGCGUGCAGGAUGAAGGCCUUCGGGUUGUAAACUGCUUUUGUACGGAACGAAAAGACUCUGGUUAAUACCUGGGGUCCAUGACGGUACCGUAAGAAUAAGCACCGGCUAACUACGUGCCAGCAGCCGCCGUAA